AGCAGCCGCGGUAAUUCCAGCUCCAAUAGCGUAUAUUAAAGUUGUUGCAGUUAAAAAGCUCGUAGUUGAAUUUCGGGAUUGACGUGAUGGUCGUGCCUUACGGGGUAUGAACUGUUGCUGUUGAUUUCUCACCUUCUGGAGAAACUUGAUGUCCUUAAUUGGGUGUCUUGCGGAUCCAGGACCUUUACCUUGAAAAAAUUAGAGUGUUUAAAGCAGGCAUUUUGCUCGAAUACAUUAGCAUGGAAUAAUAGAAUAGGACGGCAUGGUUCUAUUUUGUUGGUUUCUAGGAUCACCGUAAUGAUUAAUAGGGAUAGUUGGGGGCAUUAGUAUUCAAUUGUCAGAGGUGAAAUUCUUGGAUUUAUUGAAGACUAACUACUGCGAAAGCAUUUGCCAAGGAUGUUUUCAUUAAUCAAGAACGAAAGUUAGGGGAUCGAAGACGAUCAGAUACCGUCGUAGUCUUAACCAUAAACUAUGCCGACUAGGAAUCAGACGAUGUUAAUUUUUUAAUGACUCGUUUGGU
rnacentral:misc_RNA from 1 species